rnacentral:rRNA from 1 species
CUUGGUCAUUUAGAGGAAGUAAAAGUCGUAACAAGGUCUCCGUAGGUGAACCUGCGGAUGGAUCAUUACAAAAGAGACCAAGUUCAGUGCCCAAGACUCUUAAAACAGGUCUGGCCUGUUCUUUAGUCCCACCCACACUUUGUGAACUGUUGAUUGUCUCUGGCAGUUUUGCUCUAAAGUUGUCAUCCUUUUCAGGUGACAAUUUUUAAAACAGGCUGCCGAAGGGUCUUUGACCCAUCAUUCUUUUAACUCUAUGCUUAACAUUAUCAGUCUGAAACUCUUCAUAUUAUAAAAUGUGAAAACAACUUUUGACAACGGAUCUCUUGGCUCUCGCAACGAUGAAGAACGCAGCGAAAUGCGAUACGUAAUGUGAAUUGCAGAAUUCCGUGAAUCAUCGAAUCUUUGAAUGCAUAUUGCGACCUUCUGGUAUUCCAGGAGGUAUGCCUGUUUGAGAAUCGUGACCACCUCACUUCUUUUUUGAAGUGGACAAUGAGUUUUCCCUUGCAUCUCUUCUUUUCAAGAAGUCUGAUCUUGGGUAACUUGAAAUACAUGCAGGCCUUGGAUGGAACACCUAUUCGGUGAACAGGCGUGAUAAAACGUCCACUAGGACAAGUAUUAAUCGCUUAAAGUAACCGUGGGCAAAAAGUAUCUAUCUAUGUUUGACUGCAACGCAGGAAACUGAAGGUUAAGUGGACUUAAUCUUCUGUGUACUGAAUCUCAAAUCAGGCAAGACUACCCGCAGAACUUAAGCAUAUCAAUAAGCGGAGGA